GAUCUAAUGGCGAAGCUGGUAUCGCGUCCACAUCUUAUAUCAAUGACCAGACCUCGUUUAGCGGAAGUCUCCGGUUUGAACCCGGGUUAGGUCA